UACGUAGGUGACCAGCGUUGUCCGGAUUUACUGGGCGUAAAGAGCGCGCAGGCGGUCGUUCAAGUCGAGUGUGAAAGCCCCCCGGCUCAACUGGGGAGGGUCAUUCGAUACUGAUCGACUCGAAGGCAGGAGAGGGAAGCGGAAUUCCCGGUGUAGUGGUGAAAUGCGUAGAUAUCGGGAGGAACACCAGUGGCAAAGGCGGCUUCCUGGCCUGUUCUUGACGCUGAGGCGCGAAAGCUAGGGGAGCAAACGGG
rnacentral:rRNA from 1 species